rnacentral:misc_RNA from 1 species
UGGUAUGGAUAUGUUUUGAGAGGUAAGAUGUAUAGAACUUGCUAUUUUUGUACAUUCUGUAAUACAUUUAAUAUUUUGUCUAUUAAUUAGAAAUGGCUUGAACCUGAAAUGUUAUUUAUAAUUUCCUUUUCUUGAAUUGUUACUUAUCAAUAUUUAAAAACUUUUGCCCACUAUCUUUUCUCUUUUUUUGGAAAUCAAUGAAUUCCAACAUUUUUGGAGCUGUCUGUCUAGGCUUUGUUCGGUUAUAGAUACCCUGGUUGCAAGCUCAUAUAUGAGUAUUUGAAGACUGUUUCUUACGUGCAAUUAAGGUGUUCUCUUCUAUUUUUUUUCAGUAGUAACAAAAAUAAAAUGCUGCGUUAAACUGAGCAAAAUGGUCCAUUGUUUUAGUUAAAUUGAAUUGAGUUGAUGAUAAUAAAUGUGCUACAAUCAACUUGAAUAUACUGGGUCUGGGUCUAUAUUUCCUUUUACUUAUAUUUCCUGGUUUUCUUUGCUUGUCAAAACUAGAUUGUCAAUAGGAGAUGCCUUAAGCUUGGGUAAUCUGAGUGGACCUGCCUUUGGAUAGUUUUUAUUGCCUAAUUUCAUUGAUAAAAUGCAUUAUAUUAUGAUUGUUGUUGAUAUAAAAUGGCAUUAAAAACUAAUGUGCAUGCAUUGUCAGAGUUUUAAUUCUUAGUUGAAGUGGUUAUUUUUAGUAAUAUGCUUUCCUGCUUUUGCCUCUUCUGUUCAAAUACAUUUGGAAUGUUUGCCAAUUGAUUUGGCUGAUCAAUGUUCUUCAUGAAGAUGAUAAACAUCUAAAUAGUUCAUAGAUGAUUCUAAAUCAUAUCACUGCUCGGCAUUUCAUUUUGAGUUUUUGGUUUUAUAUUAGGGUUGCCCCUUACUGAAGGUAAAAGAUACAAUCCUCUGUGUAGUCAGAGAUAGAAAUUUCCUUGUAAGUGCCAUAUGUAAAACUUGAUGUGAAUUGUGACUCAAUCAAAGAAUGAAAAGUAUGUGGUUUUCUUUGUUGAUUUUGUUUACAGUCAUGUAAAUUUUCUUCAUGGAUAGGUGAUGUGAACAGCAUUAGCAU